CAGUGCUUAACGCUGUUGUGCUAUAGAAACUGUUUUACUAGAGUGAGAUAGAGGCAAGCGGAAUUCCAUGUGUAGCGGUAAAAUGCGUAAAUAUAUGGAGGAACACCAGAGGCGUAGGCGGCUUGCUGGGUCUUUACUGACGCUGAGGCACGAAAGCGUGGGGAGCAAACAGGAUUAGAUACCCUGGUAGUCCACGCCGUAAACGAUGAGUACUAAGUGUCGGGUAAAACUGGUACUGAAGUUAACACAUUAAGUACUCCGCCUGAGUAGUACGUACGCAAGUAUGAAACUUAAAGGAAUUGACGGGACUCCGCACAAGCGGUGGAUCAUGUUGUUUAAUUCGAAGAUACACGAAAAACCUUACCAGGUCUUGACAUUUUCUUGCGAAGUUAUAGAAAUAUAAUGGAGGUUAUCAGGAAAACAGGUGGUGCAUGGUUGUCGUCAGCUCGUGUCGUGAGAUGUUAGGUUAAGUCCUAAAACGAGCGCAACCCUUGUCGUUAAUUGCCAGCAUGUAAUGAUGGGGACUUUAACGAGACUGCCAAUGAAAAAUUGGAGGAAGGUGGGGAUUACGUCAAAUCAUCAUGCCCCUUAUGAUCUGGGCUACAAACGUGAUACAAUGGUUGAUACAAAGAGUAGCUGAAACGCGAGUUCUUAGCCAAUCUCAAAAAAUCAAUCUCAGUUCGGAUUGAAGUCUGCAACUCGACUUCAUGAAGUUGGAAUCGCUAGUAAUCGCGAAUCAGC
rnacentral:rRNA from 1 species